UACGAAGGGGGCUAGCGUUGUUCGGAUUUACUGGGCGUAAAGCGCACGUAGGCGGACUCUUAAGUCGGUGGUGAAAUCCUGGAGCUCAACUCCAGAACUGCCUUCGAUACUGAGAGUCUCGAGUCCGGGAGAGGUGAGUGGAACUGCGAGUGUAGAGGUGAAAUUCGUAGAUAUUCGCAAGAACACCAGUGGCGAAGGCGGCUCACUGGCCCGGUACUGACGCUGAGGUGCGAAAGCGUGGGGAGCAAACAGG
rnacentral:rRNA from 1 species